rnacentral:rRNA from 1 species
GGGAGGGAGGGGGGAGGAGGGGGUGGGAUAGGGAGGGGGCAAGCGUUGUCCGGAGUCGUGGGGAGUGAGGGGCGGGCGGGCGGGCUGCUGCGGGUGGGGUGAAAACCGGGGGCUCAACCCCGGGAGUGCCUUGGAUACGGGGAGACUUGAGGAUCGGAGAGGCAAGGGGAAUUCCACGUGUAGCGGGGAAAUGCGUAGAGAUGUGGAGGAACACCUGUGGCGAAGGCGCCUGGCUGGCCGAUUUCUGACGCUGAGGCGCGAAAGCGUGGGGAGCAAACAGGAUUAGAUACCCGAGUAGUC